rnacentral:rRNA from 1 species
CCUACGGGUGGCAGCAGUGGGGGAUAUUGCACAAUGGGGGAAACCCUGAUGCAGCGACGCCGCGUGUGGGAAGACGGUCCUCUGGAUUGUAAACUACUGUCCUCAGGGACGAAGAUGACGGUACCUGGGGAGGAAGCUUCGGCUAACUACGUGCCAGCAGCCGCGGUAAUAGGUAGGGAGCAAGCGUUGUCCGGAAUUACGGGGUGUAAAGGGAGUGUAGGCGGGAUGGCAGGUUGGUGGUUAAUUCUACCGGCUCAACUGGUAGUCGCACUCGAAACUGCUAGUCUUGAGUAAAGUAGAGGCGGGCGGAAUUCCUGGUGUAGCGGUGAAAUGCGUAGAUAUUAGGAAGAACACCAGUGGCGAAGGCAGCCUGCUGGGCUUUUACUGACGCUGAGGCUCGAAAGUGUGGGGAGCAAACAGGAUUAGAUACCCCUGUAGUC